rnacentral:rRNA from 1 species
UAGGGAAUUUUCGGCAAUGGGCGCAAGCCUGACCGAGCAACGCCGCGUGAGUGAUUAAGGCCUUCGGGUUGUAAAGCUCUGUUGUAAGGGAAGAACAUUCAGGAUAGGAAAUGAUCUUGAACUGACGGUACCUUACCAGAAAGCCACGGCUAACUACGUGCCAGCAGCCGCGGUAAUACGUAGGUGGCAAGCGUUAUCCGGAAUUAUUGGGCGUAAAGGGUGCGUAGGCGGUUUAUUAAGUCUAUGGUGAAAGUGCGGGGCUCAACCCCGUAUGGCCAUAGAAACUGGUAGACUUGAGUGCAGGAGAGGGCAAUGGAAUUCCAUGUGUAGCGGUAAAAUGCGUAGAUAUAUGGAGGAACACCAGUGGCGAAGGCGGUUGCCUGGCCUGUAACUGACGCUGAAGCACGAAAGCGUGGGGAGCAAAUAGGAUUAGAUACCCUAGUAGUCCACGCCGUAAACGAUGAAUA